rnacentral:rRNA from 1 species
GACGAACGCUGGCGGCGUGCUUAACACAUGCAAGUCGAACGGUAAGGCCCUUCGGGGUACACGAGUGGCGAACGGGUGAGUAACACGUGGGUGAUCUGCCCUGCACUUCGGGAUACGCCUGGGAAACUGGGUCUAAUACCGGAUAGGACCACUGCCUGCAUGGGCGGUGGUGGAACGCUUUUGCGGUGUGGGAUGGGCCCGCGGCCUAUCAGCUUGUUGGUGGGGUGAUGGCCUACCAAGGCGACGACGGGUAGCCGGCCUGAGAGGGUGACCGGCCACACUGGGACUGAGAUACGGCCCAGACUCCUACGGGAGGCAGCAGUGGGGAAUAUUGCACAAUGGGCGCAAGCCUGAUGCAGCGACGCCGCGUGAGGGAUGACGGCCUUCGGGUUGUAAACCUCUUUCAGCACCGACGAAGCGCAAGUGACGGUAGGUGCAGAAGAAGGACCGGCUAACUACGUGCCAGCCGCCGCGGUAAUAC